rnacentral:lncRNA from 1 species
UUUUUUACAGUUUUAUGUAAACACAAAGCAGGCCCAUGAGCUGCCUACUCAUUUUCUUCACUGCACAGCCUGGCAUUGGGGUUGGCGACUUGCAUGGCCAGCUGGGUGGCCCUUUCCAUGAUGGCUUUGCAGUUCUUGGAGGAAACAUUGUGAUCAGUCUCAGCACAGUAAGAUUUGUUGCACAUCAACGGUACUUUCAGCUCCUUGACGUUGUGAACCAGGAACUUCUGGAAGCCACUGAGGAGCAUAUGCUUUGUUUUCUUGUUGCUCCCAUAACCACUGUUGGGCAUCAAGAUCUGGAGCUUGAACCUUCUACGAACCUUGUUGUCAAUACCGCUGGAUUUCCGCCAGUCACGCUUAGUUUUGAUAUAUCAGUUUGACUGGUGCCCAAUGAACUUCUUGGUUCUCUUUGUGACUAUUUUGGGCUUCACAAGGGGUAUGAAGGUGGCCAUGAUGCUGAGGAGGACAUGGCUGCCACCUCCAUAGGCAGUGCCAAGGAAGAGAGAACAUACCUACUUUCUAAUGUUGGACUUGCACUGUGUGUCCACAGUUGAUGAAGUGUGGCAUGCCAUGGUGGACAGACCUUGGGCAUCUGGGGCAGACAAACCUGGAUUUAAACUUGGCUUAACCAUCUGUCAUCUGUGGACAGGCCUUUCUUAUUUAAAUAAGCUUGAUUUUUUUUUUUUUAAUUUCUUAACAAGCAUUAUGCUUUUUUUCCCCCACAGAAUUUUUUGUGUGUGGAUUUAAGAGGCAAUGUAUAAAAAAAACUCCAGCUUCAGUAUGUUGUUUAGAUGUGUAAUAAAUAUCAGCUCUUUUUUCAUUUCUCACAAGCUUGACAAGUGCUUGUACUAGAUACUACAGCCAAAGCAAAGAUGAAUAUGACAUAGGCCAGGAUGGCAAAUAAGUUUUCUUUCAUGCCCAGCUCUCAUGAAGUGGUGAAGCCUCAGGGAGUACUGUGUUGAGAUGGAUUUUAAGGGUCAGCAGGGAAGAGUGGUGUAGUGGAUUAGCCAUAUCCUUCAAGACUCAGGAGGGGGCACUGAGGAACACAAAUGUCACAAAUUUGCCAUCACUGACACACCUCUGUUUUGGGAAGUCAGAGCAAAUGGAGUGUGAAAUUUGUGUAGAAGAAAUGAAUAGCUAUUGAACAUAAGGAGAGUGGUAGACACUGUUACAUGUGUUAUGUCUUGAAUGCACUCAGCAAACUGGAGAGGAAUGAAUUACUCUUUGCAGGACGGUGCUCCAGGUGGCCUUGGACC